CGUAACAAGGUCUCCGUAGGUGAACCUGCGGAGGGAUCAUUACACAACAAAAUAUGAAGGCCUGGCUUCGCGGCCGGCUGAAAUAUUUUUUCACCCAUGUCUUUUGCGCACUUGUUGUUUCCUGGGCGGGUUCGCCCGCCACCAGGACCAAACCAUAAACCUUUUUUUUAUGCAGUUGCAAUCAGCGUCAGUAAAAACAAUGUAAUUAUUACAACUUUCAACAACGGAUCUCUUGGUUCUGGCAUCGAUGAAGAACGCAGCGAAAUGCGAUACGUAGUGUGAAUUGCAGAAUUCAGUGAAUCAUCGAAUCUUUGAACGCACAUUGCGCCCUUUGGUAUUCCAAAGGGCAUGCCUGUUCGAGCGUCAUUUGUACCUUCAAGCUUUGCUUGGUGUUGGGCGUUUUUGUCUCUCUCUUUCUGGGGAGACUCGCCUUAAAACGAUUGGCAGCCGGCCUACUGGUUUCGGAGCGCAGCACAUAUUUUGCGCUUUGUAUCAGGAGAAAAGGACGGUAAUCCAUCAAGACUCUACAUUUUUAACUUUUGACCUCGGAUCAGGUAGGGAUACCCGCUGAA
rnacentral:rRNA from 1 species